rnacentral:lncRNA from 1 species
UCAAAACUUUUACUCCUUCCCACUUUUCCCCCAAAACUUUUACUCCCCUCCCCUCCCAACCCCCCAAUCUACCCAAAAUCCAUUUCCCACCAAAAUUUUACUCUUCCAUUCAUAUUUUUUUCAAAAUUUUACUCUCAAAAACCCUCAAAACUUUUUAUUUUCCCCCAAAAUUUUUACUCCCUCCCACUUUUCCCCUAAAACUUUUAUUCUCUUCCCAUCCCACCUCCCAUCUACCCCAAACCCACCCCCCUCCAAUUUUUUUUAAUAUUUUCCCUCCAAAAUUUUACUCCCCCUAUUUACUUUCCCUCAAACUUUUAUUCCCCAAAACUUUUUAUUUUCCCCCUAAACUUUUACUUCUCA